rnacentral:rRNA from 1 species
UACGAAGGGGGCUAGCGUUGUUCGGAAUUACUGGGCGUAAAGCGUGCGCAGGCGGUUUUGUAAGCCAGGUGUGAAAUCCCCGGGCUCAACCUGGGAAUGGCAUUUGGGACUGCAAGGCUGGAGUGCGGCAGAGGAGACUGGAAUUCCUGGUGUAGCAGUGAAAUGCGUAGAUAUCAGGAGGAACACCGGUGGCGAAGGCGGCCACCUGGACGGAUACUGACGCUGAGACGCGAAAGCGUGGGUAGCAAACAGG